rnacentral:rRNA from 1 species
UACGGAGGGUGCAAGCGUUAUCCGGAAUCACUGGGUUUAAAGGGUGCGUAGGCGGUCUGAUAAGUCAGUUGUGAAAUUCCCCGGCUUAACCGGGUGGACUGCGAUUGAUACUGUUGGACUUGAAUCAGGUUGAGGUAGGCGGAAUGUGACAUGUAGCGGUGAAAUGCUUAGAUAUGUCAUAGAACACCGAUUGCGAAGGCAGCUUGCUGGGCUUAGAUUGACGCUGAGGCACGAAAGCGUGGGGAGCGAACAGG